CGCGUGAGGAACCUGCCUCAAAGAGGGGGACAACAGUUGGAAACGACUGCUAAUACCGCAUAAGCCCACGGCUCGGCAUCGAGCAGGGGGAAAAGGAGCAAUCCGCUUUGAGAUGGCCUCGCGUCCGAUUAGCUAGUUGGUGAGGUAAUGGCCCACCAAGGCGACGAUCGGUAGCCGGACUGAGAGGUUGAACGGCCACAUUGGGACUGAGACACGGCCCAGACUCCUACGGGAGGCAGCAGUGGGGAAUAUUGCACAAUGGGGGAAACCCUGAUGCAGCGACGCCGCGUGGAGGAAGAAGGUCUUCGGAUUGUAAACUCCUGUUG
rnacentral:rRNA from 1 species